ACAGUAUGUUACAGUGCUCUGUCUCACUGCUGUCUCCUGUCUUGUCUCGGUUUACUCGGCUGGCUCGGACUCGGAUCGUUGCCUGCCUGCCUGCGUGCCUGCCUGCCUGCCUGCCUGUGUGUGUUCAUGUCCUGUUCCUGCACAACCACCACCACCUCCACCACCACCUCUCUGUCGCCCCCUCAUCUGAAGGCUAUGAGAAAUCCCGGAGCUUAAACAACAUAGCGGGCAUGGCUGGUAACGCCCUGAGGUUGUCUCCUGUGACCUCGCCCUACGGAUCGCCCUGCCCGCUGCGGCGCUCUCGCUCCCCUAUACCCUCCAUCCUGUGAGACAUCCAGCCCUGGGCCACUUUGGCCUAAACCACCCCACAUCCUACUCCCAAAGCAUCCACCUACCCUUGCUAUUAUAUCUGAACUCUGUUCUAGAUUGUGACUAGUGGAUAAGUACUUAACUUUGUAGCUAAGACUAAUGUUAGUGGCUUGGGCAACCUGAGCAACUCCUCACUUUCCCCUUUUUCUUUGAAGGUACAUGUGCUUAGCUAACAUCCUUAAGUAACUGGUCAGUUCUCCUUUGUCACUUGGAGUUCCCUUUGGUUCAAUAUUGUUGUACCUUGAGACUUGCAAUAAAAGAACUCUUGACUGGUGGCUUCAGAAGUAGCAGCCAUAGCGUUUAAUAAAGGACAAAUUAAUAAUCAGGGAUAUUAGAAGUUGCUAUAUUUAGAUACCUUGAAAAAGACGUGCUUCCAAAAAAAGAAAGAGAGAUGUCCCAUCAUUUUAACCUCAUACGACUGUGACUUUGUCUUUGAUUUGCUACUUUAUUUUUGGGAUGGAGACGGGAGGGAUGGGCAUCGGAAUGGAGGAUUUGUCUUUCAGGACUGUGUUUCACCUGCUGUUGGGCCUGCUAAUGUAUUUGCAUGGAUCAUCUUGUAACCAUCGUCUGCAAGCAAUGUGGCAAGGGGAUAUGGGCCGGGGCAGACAGUGAGGAGAGCUUAAGGAUAUAUAUUCUAUAUAUAUAUAUAUAUAUAUAUAUAUAUAUAAGAAGGAGUAUUUUUUUAUUUUACGUUAUUAUGUUGGGGUUUGAGGGGGCUACACUUGACUUGUGUUGUGUCUCAUUGCCAUUGGCUUCACCAACAAUCCACCUAAGAGACUACAGAAAGAAUGCCAAAUGGGUGUUCAUUUCUCUCGUGGGCAUGUGGGUUUUUGCUUGUCUGCUGCUAUUUCCGAUUAACUUACUCCCCACCUCCUUUAUGCUUUCUUUUCUUUGAUGGAGUGCCACCAUAUCAGUUGUGUCUCUGGUUGUUUACUCACAGAUCACUGCAAAGAGGUUGUCUUUACUGGUUUCACACAAGCAGAGAGCAGUGUUCUAUCUUAAUGGCCUGCGGAAAGGCACCACCAUGGCGGAAAGACAAUUCAUUUCCUAUUUGAAUGGCGAUGGGAUAAGUCAUCAUUGUGAGGACCUAUUCCAGUGGGAGGACCCCAUUUGGAGCCACAAGGCCACUCCUACAGGACAAUAAGGACGAGGAGGCAUGUAAAACCACUGACUGACAGCGGCCUAGCCAACGGCUCAGUGAGCAAGAAAGGAACUUAAUGACCUGAAGGGAAUCCUAGGAGGACUUUCAUAAGAAUUUAACUUUUCCCGAUGUUUCUUUUUGUUUUUCUGUUUUGGUACUGUGGAGGGGGGAAAGGAUAGCAAAGCAAACUGGAUACAUCCUUAAAAGAGACUAUCUACUGUAUAGAUAUUGCUCCUGUAAAUAAGAAAACAACACAGCACAUCUGGGCUAAGCAGCUCUGUCCACACAUCUGUCUUAUGAUGGUGAGUCAGGUAACAAGGUGGUUGGUUGGUAAGUUGCACCGUGACACUCUAAGUCAAUCACUUUUCUUGCUGUGGUAUCCCUCCUCGCAAUAAGUGUACUAAGAUGUAUCGGUUGAGGCACUUUGUGUUCUAAAAAUGGAGUGUAUUCAUAUAUGAAAUUCUACAUACAGUAUAUACAGUACAGAGAGACAAACGUGCUAAGUUGAAUAAAUGUGACAUUAUGGUCAUCUCUGCUUUGUUUCCCUUGGUAAUUUUCGGUAGGUAAAUUGCUCUGCUGUGUGUUAAUGUGUGUGUGUGUGUAUCCUAAAACUCCAGGGUAAGAUCUGCAGUUUGAAAGGCCAGGUUAGCGGAUACCAACGAGUGGACUGUCACUCUUCCAGUUAGUUUUAGCACAAACAUGAAUGAGACAGAGUUCCCCUGCAGUCGCCAUUGUAGAAGUCCCCCCCCCCCGGGGUCGUGCAUUGAACAUGCAACUGCCCUGCGUUUGUGCUGCAGACGUUUGUCUCUUCACAAACCAAAUUAUUCUUACCAGACUAUUCCUCAUAACUCCUGGUGGCUACAAAAAACUGCAUAACUUGAUUCUUCCAAACUUUUCCCCUUGUGGGGGUGGAGCAAAAGUGUAGCAGAAGUUUACCAAGUUAUAAAGCUGGACUUCUAGAAUGGCUACAUCUGCACAGUAGCAAUCCUAUGUACCCAAACAAUCAGAUCGGAUUUGCAAUAAGCACCCGAAAACAAAAAGCGCCGAUCCACACUGUGAUUUCAGCAGCCCAUUAAAACGAGACGGCAGAAGGAAAACAGAGUGAAAAUGCAGCUCUACAAGCUGAUAGAAAGGACUGGCAGGUGGCCCAACGUAUGUGUCAUGUUGGUUGCGACCUGCACAGUUGUUGGCUAGCUGUCAAGUGUCACCCUGUACCCACAAUCCUCCUCGUGUAGUACACAACGCUGCUUUACUCUUUGAAUUGACAAAGGGGUACCGUUCUAUGUGUAUUUUUAGGAUGACGUAACUUGAAAAAAGGUGUUUAUUUUUUUGAAUCCAGAACAUGUAUUUUUGUGUCUUACUGUUGGGUACACUGCUCUAACCUGUAAAAGUCAUGGUAGUCUGAUGUUGUGCUUCUCCAUCGUGUCCUCAAACCGUCAGGCUUUUGAUCCGAGUUCAUGUUUUGUAUGUUUUACUGUGAGGAAAAUUCUAGUUUGAAGUCUGUAUUUGUGGAGCCUUUUGUUGGCAUUCUAAAGUGCAUGCUGAAAAAAAACAUUAUGUCAAAUUGUUAAAAAAUAAAAAGAUGACAUACUGUG